rnacentral:misc_RNA from 1 species
UGGGUUUGACAUCACCCGGAAACAUCUAGAGAUAGGUGCCUCUUCGGACUGGGUGACAGGUGGUGCAUGGCUGUCGUCAGCUCGUGUCGUGAGAUGUUGGGUUAAGUCCCGCAACGAGCGCAACCCUUAUCCCGUGUUGCCAGCAAGUAGUGUUGGGGACUCGCGGGAGACUGCCGGGGUUAACUCGGAGGAAGGUGGGGAUGACGUAGACCUUGGACC